ensembl:lncRNA
CAUGGACCCACAGCACACCGUUCUCUUAAAGAGGCACUACACCAUUGGGCUGCCGAGCCUCAGACGUUCAUCAACAACUCAACUAAACAACAUGAGGUGGUCAACCAAGAAUCCAGCAUUCAAGACUGGUGGCCUGCCUUGUUACAUCAGAAAGAGACUGAGGACAUUCAUCUUCGAAGGCAGUGUGUCCUGAAAGCCCUCAUCAUCUUCCUCGGCGAGGAUGCAGAUGACCUGAUCAAGGAAUAUCGUGACUCUGGACCAGAGGACAUUCAAAGGGACCUGGAGCAUCUCACUGUGGCACAGUUUGUCGAAAGGUUGGGGAAAGACAGCAGGAGCCACCUGAAGACAUAGGCAUUGUCAUCGAGGGCGUGAAGGUUUUGCAUGGACUGACUUCAGUUGCCUCAGCUUGUGCCCUGCUUCUAGGUUUGCUAUAUGCACUUAACCUAGCUUAUCCCAAACCCCUUCGUUUUACUUUCGAAGUGCUUCAGAAAAUCAUCAUGCACCUUGAGCAACACAAGAUGUCCCCCAAAGUCCAAAAUCUGUAUGGCAGACUUCAAAGCUCGCAGUAAUAAUACGCAUCACAAUUGAUUCCCUUUCUGGACCCAAAAAUGGCCUAGGGAAGAACAAUUUUAAGACAUGGGGCCUGUGGAACUCAAGCCUCUUUAGGUGUUUUUGCCUUCGUGUGUUUAAUGAGACAAUCAAGAGAGACAAAUAUUCUUCAAACCACAAGAUGAUAUACAUUGAUUUUGUUGCAGGUUUUUGGAAGAGCAGGAGUUUUCUUCUUUUUCUGUGGAACGGUUACAUUUUUGUUUCCAUGUGUUUUCAAAAUAACAAAAUACAAUUUGUGUUAAUGCUUAGAGCUCAAAUACCUUACUGAGGUGUUAAUGUUAGUGUUAUCCAUCGUAACCGACUUAAA